rnacentral:rRNA from 1 species
CCCGCGGCAAGACGGAAAGACCCCGUGAACCUUUACUAUAGCUUGACACUGAACAUUGAGCCUUGAUGUGUAGGAUAGGUGGGAGGCUUUGAAGCGUGGACGCCAGUCUGCGUGGAGCCGACCUUGAAAUACCACCCUUUAAUGUUUGAUGUUCUAACGUGGACCCGUAAUCCGGGUUGCGGACAGUGUCUGGUGGGUAGUUUGACUGGGGCGGUCUCCUCCUAAAGAGUAACGGAGGAGCACGAAGGUUGGCUAAUCCUGGUCGGACAUCAGGAGGUUAGUGCAAUGGCAUAAGCCAGCUUGACUGCGAGCGUGACGGCGCGAGCAGGUGCGAAAGCAGGUCAUAGUGAUCCGGUGGUUCUGAAUGGAAGGGCCAUCGCUCAACGGAUAAAAGGUACUCCGGGGAUAACAGGCUGAUACCGCCCAAGAGUUCAUAUCGACGGCGGUGUUUGGCACCUCGAUGUCGGCUCAUCACAUCCUGGGGCUGAAGUAGGUCCCAAGGGUAUGGCUGUUCGCCAUUUAAAGUGGUACGCGAGCUGGGUUUAGAACGUCGUGAGACAGUUCGGUCCCUAUCUGCCGUGGGCGCUGGAGAACUGAGGGGGGCUGCUCCUAGUACGAGAGGACCGGAGUGGACGCAUCACUGGUGUUCGGGUUGUCAUGCCAAUGGCACUGCCCGGUAGCUAAAUGCGGAAGAGAUAAGUGCUGAAAGCAUCUAAGCACGAAACUUGCCCCGAGAUGAGUUCUCCCUGAGACUUAAAGUCUCCUGAAGGAACGUUGAAGACGACGACGUUGAUAGGCCGGGUGUGUAAGCGCAGCGAUGCGUUGAGCUAACCGGUACUAAUGAACCGU